rnacentral:rRNA from 1 species
GACGAACGCUGGCGGCGUGCUUAACACAUGCAAGUCGAACGGAAAGGCCCUGCUUUUGUGGUGUGCUCGAGUGGCGAACGGGUGAGUAACACGUGAGUAACCUGCCCUUCACUUUGGUAUAACUUCAGGUAACUGGGCCUAAUCCCGUAUCGCAUCUCCCGCUGCAUGGUGGGGGUUGGAUCGUUUCGGCGGUUGGGGAUGGACUCGCGGCUUAUCAGUUUGUUGGUGGGGUAGUGGCUUACCAAGGCUUUGACGGGUAGCCGGCCUGAGAGGGUGACCGGCCACAUGGGGACUGAGAGACGGCGCAGACUGGUACGGGAGGCAGAAGGGGGGAAUAUUGCACAAUGGGCGGGAGCCGGAUGCAGAAACGCCGCGUGCGGGAUGACGGCCUUCGGGUUGUGAACCGCAUUAGCCUGAGACGAAGCGUGAGUGACGGUAAUGGGUAAAGAAGCACCGGCUAACUACGUG